GUCUAAAUGAACAGCAGACUAACAUUCAGUUUAGAAAAAUAGUGAGAACUACGAUUUCAUUCGUUAUUCACUCGCGAAAGACGUCAAAAAGGUAUCAAAACUACAAAAAACUGAAGACAAUGUUUGAAGAGAAGAUCGGAGUCAUGAUUUCUGACAUCAUUUCCCUUCAGAAAUUGCCUUCAGAAAUUCUUUCAAAGCAAUUCGAAGUUUCUACCAAUGCCUGUGAUUGGUCGUUCCAUUAUGGCGUCCUCCUGUUUAGACCAAUCAGAUUCAUCGUUAAAGGAUGCGUUGCGCGGAGUGUGGUGGAGUGCAACAGUCCUCUUCGAAGCUUCGUCGGUUUGGCACGUGUC